rnacentral:rRNA from 1 species
UACAGAGGGUGCAAGCGUUAAUCGGAAUUACUGGGCGUAAAGCGUGCGUAGACGGUUAUUUAAGUCGGGUGUGAAAGCCCCGGGCUCAACCUGGGAAUUGCAUUCGAGACUGAAUAGCUAGGGUGCGGAAGAGGGAAGCGGAAUUUCCGGUGUAGCGGUGAAAUGCGUAGAUAUCAGGAGGAACACCGGUGGCGAAGGCGGCUAUCUGGACAGAAACUGACGCUGAGGCGCGAAAGCUAGGGGAGCAAACAGG